rnacentral:lncRNA from 1 species
AGGCAGGCAGUCCUGUCAUGACUUGUGGCCAUAGAACACUUGAUGAUGCUUGCCUGCUUCGAAAUUUUAUUUCUUAAGAUGUUGAAAGAUAGCACAGAUUUGAGAAUAGUACAUUUAUAUGAUUUGUUUACAAUGAUGAGCUAUUGUUUUGCAAAAGAACCUAAUUUAAUCCUAGUCCUACUGAUGAGAACAUUUGUUUUUUAAUAGUCCUAAGUAUUCCAGAGUAUUGAUUAUUGAAUUGCUAAUAAUAUAUCUAUAAGGCAUCCACUCUAUUAAUGGGUUAAUCAUAAUAAGCAUACAUCUCCAAAGAGUUCAUGGUGGUACUCACCAGUCUCCCAUUACUUGGGAGGACUAGGAACUCAGGAACAGCAUCAGCUAUAUAGUGAGAGUUUGAGUUCAUAUAUUUAUGGUAUUACAGGAGACCAUGUCUCAAAAAGUCAACAAAACAAUCAAACUAAACCAAACAAGCAAACAAAAAAGAAAAACAAACAAACAAACAAAAAAACCCACAAAAUACCAAUACAAAUGUAAUCAUAGAAGAAUCUUAUAUAUAAUGAUAUGCCCAGAUUUGUUUCAGAUCUUAAUUACACCAAUAUCUCAAAACAUUUUAUUCAAGAACUUUGCAUCCAAAAUUGGUUUCAGACUGACUCAGAUAGUGAUUUUCAACUGACCACAGCACAGGCAUAAUUUUCUUUCUUUAUUGGGAGUAUGAGGAUGCUGGGGAUCUUACCUUAGACUGAGGCUAGACAUGGUCUGCCACUGAAUGCUACGUGCCCCACUCCCAGCACUCUGACUAGAAAUCCUGGGAAAUAGUUUUAGUCAUGCAGUUGAAGGACAGGAUUCUCAAAGAUAAGUCAUGUGGCUGAGGCCUCCUCUAUAAGAGGCCAUCCAUAGUCCUGACUUAACCACAGGGCAGGAGCCUUUCACAGGCUCUGUCAGCUCUACUUUUUUGUUAUCUUGACACAGCUAGAGAUAUUUGAAAUCGGAGAAAAUGCCUUCAUAUGAUUGGACAGUAGACAAACCCAUGGAGCAUUUUCCUAAUUAGUGAUGGAAAUGGGAGGGCCCACACCAGUGUGGAUAGUGCCACCCCUGGACAGUUGGUCCUAGAGUGUAUAAGAAAGACAGUUGGAAAGGCCAUGGGAAGCAAGCCAGUAGCUGUUCCUCCAUGGUCUCUGGUUUCUGCUUCCAGGUUCCUGCCCUCACUCACAUCAGGGAUGGAGUAUGACCUGAGAGUUGUUUGUUUGUGGGGGGAACACCCUCAUAGAAGCAGGGGGAGGGGAGAUGGGAUAGGAAGACUCCAGGGCCCAGGUGUGGAAACCUGGAAAGAGGAUAACAUUUGAAAUGCAAAUAAAGAAAAUAUCU